ACAUCCAGAGAAUUUAGCAGAGAUGCUUUAGUGCCUUCGGGAACUCUGAGACAGGUGCUGCAUGGAUGUCGUCAGCUCGUGUUGUGAAAUGUUGGGUUAAGUCCCGCAACGAGCGCAACCCUUAUCCUUUGUUGCCAGCACGUAAUGGUGGGAACUCAAAGGAGACUGCCGGUGAUAAACCGGAGGAAGGUGGGGAUGACGUCAAGUCAUCAUGGCCCUUACGAGUAGGGCUACACACGUGCUACAAUGGCGCAUACAAAGAGAAGCGACCUCGCGAGAGCAAGCGGACCUCAUAAAGUGCGUCGUAGUCCGGAUUGGAGUCUGCAACUCGACUCCAUGAAGUCGGAAUCGCUAGUAAUCGUAAAUCAGAAUGUUACGGUGAAUACGUUCCCGGGCCUUGUACACACCGCCCGUCACACCAUGGGAGUGGGUUGCAAAAGAAGUAGAUAGCUUAACCUUCGGGAGGGCGUUUACCACUUUGUGAUUCAUGACUGGGGUGAAGUCGUAACAAGGUAGGCGUAGUGCU
rnacentral:rRNA from 1 species